GACGAACGCUGGCGGCGUGCUUAACACAUGCAAGUCGAGCGACUGCAUUCUUUUCGGAGGGUGUAUGGAGCGGCGAACGGGUGAGUAACACGUGAGUAAUCUGCCUUUGGCUUGGGAAUAACUUCGGGAAAUCGGGGCUAAUGCCUGAUGUUUACUGUCUGCUGCAUGGUGGGUGGUGGAAAGAUUUUUUGGCCAGGGAUGAGCUCGCGGUCUAUCAGCUUGUGGUGGGGUAAUGGCUUACCAAGGCUUUGACGGGUAGCCGGCCUGAGAGGGUGUUCGGCCACACUGGGACUGAGACACGGCCCAGACUCCUACGGGAGGCAGCAGUGGGGAAUAUUGCGCAAUGGGCGUAAGCCUGACGCAGCGACGCCGCGU
rnacentral:rRNA from 1 species